CGGAGGAUCCAAGCAUUAUCCGGAAUCAUUGGGUUUAAAGGGUCCGUAGGCGGGUUUAUAAGUCAGUGGUGAAAGCCCAUCGCUCAACGAUGGAACGGCCAUUGAUACUGUAGAUCUUGAAUUAUUAGGAAGUAACUAGAAUAUGUAGUGUAGCGGUGAAAUGCUUAGAGAUUACAUGGAAUACCAAUUGCGAAGGCAGGUUACUACUAAUGGAUUGACGCUGAUGGACGAAAGCGUGGGUAGCGAACAGGAUUAGAUACCCUGGUAGUCCACGCCGUAAACGAUGGAUACUAGCUGUUCGGAGCAAUCUGAGUGGCUAAGCGAAAGUGAUAAGUAUCCCACCUGGGGAGUACGUUCGCAAGAAUG
rnacentral:rRNA from 1 species